rnacentral:rRNA from 1 species
AUUGAACGCUGGCGGAAUGCUUUACACAUGCAAGUCGAACGGCAGCACGGGGCAACCUGGUGGCGAGUGGCGAACGGGUGAGUAAUACAUCGGAACGUGCCCAAUCGUGGGGGAUAACGUAGCGAAAGUUACGCUAAUACCGCAUACGAUCUACGGAUGAAAGCGGGGGAUCGCAAGACCUCGCGCGAAUGGAGCGGCCGAUGUCAGAUUAGGUAGUUGGUGGGGUAAAGGCUCACCAAGCCGACGAUCUGUAGCUGGUCUGAGAGGACGACCAGGCACACUGGGACGGAGACACGGCCCAGACUCCUACGGGAGGCAGCAGUGGGGAAUUUUGGACAAUGGGCGCAAGCCUGAUCCAGCCAUUCCGCGUGCAGGAUGAAGGCCUUCGGGUUGUAAACUGCUUUUGUACGGAACGAAACGGCGAGCUCUAAUACAGUUUGCUAAUGACGGUACCGUAAGAAUAAGCACCGGCUAACUACGUGCCAGCCGCCGCCGUAACAC